CCUAGACUAGCUCGCCGUUGCCCCAAAUUCAGCUACAAAAUAAUUGCUACCGGUUCAAUCAAGCUUAAUCUUCAAAGAAUGGCUCGCCACUCUCCCAAAUUAAUUUCUCAGCCUUAGAUAUCCCACGAGAAAAAUAUUUCACCUAAAUAAUUAUUUCCCCUAAAUGGGUUUCUUCUUUAUGCAAUCUGAAAGAAGUUCUUCUUCUCCAUAUCUUAGGUUUUCAGUUUUCUCUUUAGGGUUGCUAAAUUAUGUCAUUUUCCGUCAACCAUCUCAUUAAAAUUUACUCUAACAGGGUUGCUGAAAAUUUGCAAAGUUAUGGUGUCUUCGAUCUUUUGUGAUGUGCUGAGUGAACAAGAGAUGAAUCAUAUCCCAUUUUACUCUUGAAAGAGAUUAAAGUCAUUGAGGAUGCAAAUUGCUGAUGUAGCAUCUACAAUAGAGUUAACUAUCGGGUAUCGUAUAUUUCCAAUGAAGUUUGUAUUAGCAAAUAUGUGCAGGUGGUGCACUUUGCUUGAUUUUAAACUAAUAUGCUUUAAAGGAAAAGGGAAAAUAUGAAUUGGAGGGUAAGCUUUGGAGCUUUAUCCCUCUUUAAACUGCUUUCAGUUAGAAUAUAUCUCGCUGAGUGUAUUUCCGUCUUUUUUCCUAGGAAAGGUAAAACCACAUCUGUCCAAUUUAUUUUUCUUACUGAUUUUGGGCGAGUACCUUCUUUGAUUCAUAUGCUUUGGCUCGUAAUUGAUGUUUUCCUCUGAAAGAUAUCCUUAUUUUCUUCUCUGUUUGGUGAUGUAAAGUUGGAUGGUUAUUUCGAACCCUUCAGUGCAUUGAAGUUAAUAGAAGACUGUUUUAGCCUCAAAAUUGCCUUGCGAGUUAGUUUAAGCAUUUGUUACCCUUACAUCAAGGGCUCGAAUCUCUAAAAUAGAGUGGCUGAUGAAAAUUAGUAAGCCACAAAUGAACUAAUCUUCUUUUGUCUAUUACUGUAUUUGUUUGCUAUUUCAGUCUUUUAUUUAGAGCAUUCUCUUUCAUGGAAUUUUAUAAUAUUCACAAAAUUAUUCAUCUCUUUGCACUGAAACUAAAAUUUCACAGAUUAGAUAUGUUCUUUUGUUCAUUUUAACUGAUUGUGUAUGUUCUGUUCAUUUUUUCUUUUUAGCAAAUAGCUCCGCGUAUCAGUUUAGUGGUAUUUUCAUCUCCUUGGUUUAAAAUCUAGUUCGCUUUGUGGAAUCUCAAGCAAGUUUUUGACAGGAGAAAUUGGGUUUCAGAUAAUGUGCUUUCAGCUCCAAUAUAGUUGUGCUCCAUUAAGGUAACCGCAUAGUUCAAGAGUUGUUUUAUUGAUCUAUUUAUUUUGGUUUAACAGGUAACUCUAGAUGUAUUUUGUGUUUUCUAAAUUUGACGUCGGUUUCUGAGUUCGGGAUGUGAGAAUGGGGUUAAUAAGCAACGAAACAUUAGGGUCUGAUUCAAAAUAUAUAUGCAAAAGAAUAUUAUAUAAUAAAACUGAUAUCAUAUUGAUCUUGUAAGUGAAGACGCUACUCAUCUCUGCUUUCUAUACCUUUUUUAGCUUUAACAGUUUUCUUUUACUAGCAAGAGAGUGUACAUGAUUUUUAUUCUUUGAUAAUUUAUUAUCUAUAUUCUGUUCUGAUUUACAGAAUUUCCUCAUUAGAGUUAUUGAAAAUCCUUAAGGAAGAGGUCUUUGAAAGAAACUGUCAUUUUAAUAGUUUCAUGGGCUUCAUCCUCGAAAUGUACAACAUGAUUUAACUCCCAAUGUCAUGUCUUUCAUCUCUAAAUGAUUUAGCGGGUUUUUGAAUUGGUCUAAUGAGGAGGUGUUACCACAUCUUUUUUGGCCUUCUGGUGGUGUUGAGUGUGUGUACUAUAUAGGUUUGACUCCUUGUGUUGCCUUUUCUUUCAAUAAAUAUUUACUUGUCAAUAACGUAUAAAUUGUAGCCUAUUACAAAUAUGUACCCAUGAGUUCAUCAAGUUAAUUGUAUUUAAUUUGGAUUUUUAUUACUUUAGUAUACAAUUGAUGAUUCCUUUGCAUAAAUCUUUUUGGUAGGAGGUCAGUAUGAUAUUGGUGGUUGGGAAGGCAAGGAGUAAACCAAUAUUGGGGUUGCACAGUUUCUAGCUUGUCUCACCAUGAGAGUCAUGAGAUGAUAAUGCAUGAUUCUCUAUAUUUUGGUCUGCUCUUGAUGAAGCAGUAUCUUGAAUCUUUUGGUACUUUCAAUGGAGUAAGAGGUACAGUUGAAGCUCUAAAAUGCUUUAUUCGGCUCUAAAAUGCUUUGCACCACCCAACUGAUUGACUUAUUUAACUUUAUUUCAGGGAGACAUUGGCAAGCAUUCUCUAGAUUGUGCAUUACAUGGUUCAACUUUUACAUCAGUUUUAGAAACUAUUCCUUUUUUGUAAUCCAUUGAAUGAUGGAAACAAGUACAAAAUAAUCUUGAUGUUGAACCUCUUUUUGUAUCUUGUAGUUGUAUAAAAAAUACAAACAAUAAUUGCAGGCAUAGGCCCGUGCACAACAUGGGCACCAACUACCUUGUUUUUGCAAGAGCAUCCCAAAUUUAUGUGUGCCAAAGAAAAUAAGGAAAUUAAUCUUAAUUUCAUUUGGUUUCAGGCUAUUGAGUGUUAAGUCUCUCCUAGAGGCGCAGGAUAUUGACACUUCCUAUUUUGCUAAGUAAUGCGUGAAGGCUACCAAGGAGGCAGCCUUUUAUUAGUACUUAUCCUUUUAUAUUAGCUUUGAAGCAUAUCAACUUGGGUAAGUUCUAUCUCUAUUUUUUUCUUUACAGUUUCAAAUUGGUUGUUCGCAUACUUCUACGCACGAAAGUUAUUUCUCCUCUUUUCCUUCAAUUUACGUGAGUUUUUGUGGAUAUUAAAUGUGUCGUUCCUAUAGAUCAAUCAAUAAAGCAUGAUUCUGGAGCUACAGUAAUUGUUAAUGACUUCAAAAUUUUGUAAUAUACAUCACUUUCACUCCAAGAAAUUUAUUUUAGGAAGGGGGUAGCAAUAUUUCUGUUCCAUUGGUCUUACAGACACAAUUUGGGACACGAGAUGUUUAGUUUGAGUUUUCCAACAUGGUGGGUGUAGGCACUUAGUAAACAAUGUCCCAGACCCCACUAUUGACUAUCUUAUUUGACCCCAUAGCUAAGCAAUUUUUUAUGCUCAACCACUUUUCGGUGGCUUUCAGAUUUGAACAAGGAGAAAUAUUAGCUUAAUAUUCAUGAAUUUGCUCAUGUAUUUUGAUUGUUCCCCUUCUUUUGCUUUUCCACUUUACUUUAUAUUGUCUGUGUUUUGACAGUUACUUCACUGCAUUUUCUGUAUCGUUUCUAGUCUUACUCUUAUCUUUUAUGGGCCAAUAGAAUUUCAGUUAGCUUAGUUUUUGUUUUUUCUUGGCUUCUCCUAUUCAUGCUACUAAUGUUACAUACUGAUGUUCAGAAAAUGACUAAAUGGGGAGACUUGGUCAAAUCUCUGAAUUUUUUACCUUUCGUGGCCAGAGUUUCAGUGCUAUUAGACAAAUGUGGUUUAGCAUUUUAAUUGAUUUUAACGUGUGUAGUGAUGAAGUAAGGGAGUGAGGAGUAAUGAAGCGGAGGAAUAACUGAUACUUUAUUUACUUAUUUAGUAUCUCGCUCCAAAAAAGUUGGGAAGAAGAGGGAAGUAUACCGUAUUCAGGUGUUCCUUUCCAUUGUUGUUCUUCAUGUAUGCAAUUAGUAUUAAGUUAUCUUUAAAUACUAUGUGAUCUUAUAAUUUCUUAGGAGCAUUUGUUUUAUACCUUUUACAGGGUCAGAAGACUUGAAGCUACAAGUCAGGCAACAACUUUUCAAGAAUUGAUAUAAAUGAUAAAUUGGUCAUCUUUUUGUUGGUUGCUUAGGACAAUUACUUUUCUUGUUAAGUGGUUUUGUAAACAGUUCAUGGUUGUACA